rnacentral:lncRNA from 1 species
ACUGGAAGGGGCCCAGGUGUUACGCAGUCGACUAGAAGAAGUUCUUGGAAGAAGCCUGGAGCGCUUAAGCAGGCUGGAGACCCUGGCUGCCAUUGGAGGUGCUACUGCAGGCGAUGAGACUGAAGAUACAAGCACACAGUUCACAGACAGCAUUGAGGAGGAGGCUGCACACAACAGCCACCAGCAACUUUAGCUGCAGAAGAAUUUUCACUCACAAGACAGUGGAUGCUUCCCCUCUUUGGCUUUUAUGGGCAAACGAUGAAGCAGAAAACGGGGAGGCAUUGAAGAGCUGUCUGGGGGAACAGCAAAGCCUCGAGCCUGCCUGAUGAGAGUGCUGGCUGAGAAACUCCCAGAGGAUCAGAGGGCCUCCGUGACAGGGAUCUUUCUCAGUGAAAUAGAAGAGAGCUUUGCUCUGUCUUCUGACAGGCAACCCAGUAGCCAGCCCUGCCAAGCCUCAGAAUUUGGCACUGGCCCACCAUCAGAGAAAGUGUAAGGUCUCAAGGCCAAGACUGAACAUCCUGGAUCUCAGAACCUAAGUCACCUUUAGUGAUCAUGAAACUGAGUGUUUCUCCCCCGCCUGGUGACAUUUAACUGUCACAUCUAAAUGCCUGUGGCUCUUAAGUUGUUGCAGCGAUGAGGACCAUUGCUAGAAAGAAGCUGGACUUUCCUAGUGCUAUCUUCCUUGGGGCCACUAGGAACACUUGUAGGGGAAACGAGGCUUAGGGGUCUGCCUGUACAUUUUCUGUGUGAGAAAAAAAGGAGACCUCCAUUAAGCUGACAGGAAGAGGCCAAGUGCCCACAGACCCUGACUGAAUAGGAUCUGGUAUCCUUAGGGGCUCCUGAGGACCCAAGUUUGUCUGGCACAUCAGACAUCAUCACAAGUUUCUUUACUUUCUAUCAAGAUCUCCGUUCUGUUGCUGUAGCCAUGACAACCCUUUACUCCUCUCUGGAACAUUUUGCUUUAGCUGCUCUUCUCAG